AAAAAGAACCUGAAACCGUGUACGUACAAGCAGUGGGAGCACCCUUCGGGGUGUGACUGCGUACCUUUUGUAUAAUGGGUCAGCGACUUAUAUUCUGUAGCAAGGUUAACCGUAUAGGGGAGCCGGAGGGAAACCGAGUCUUAAUUGGGCGUUAAGUUGCAGGGUAUAGACCCGAAACCCGGUGAUCUAGCCAUGGGCAGGUUGAAGGUUGGGUAACACUAACUGGAGGACCGAACCGACUAAUGUUGAAAAAUUAGCGGAUGACCUGUGGCUGGGGGUGAAAGGCCAAUCAAACCGGGAGAUAGCUGGUUCUCCCCGAAAGCUAUUUAGGUAGCGCCUCGUGAAUUCAUCUCCGGGGGUAGAGCACUGUUUCGGCUAGGGGGCCAUCCCGGCUUACCAACCCGAUGCAAACUGCGAAUACCGGAGAAUGUUAUCACGGGAGACACACGGCGGGUGCUAACGUCCGUCGUGAAGAGGGAAACAACCCAGACCGCCAGCUAAGGUCCCAAAGUCAUGGUUAAGUGGGAAACGAUGUGGGAAGGCCCAGACAGCCAGGAUGUUGGCUUAGAAGCAGCCAUCAUUUAAAGAAAGCGUAAUAGCUCACUGGUCGAGUCGGCCUGCGCGGAAGAUGUAACGGGGCUAAACCAUGCACCGAAGCUGCGGCAGCGAACGUAUCACCCAAGACAACUUUACGGAGUUGACGAUUGACGGAGCGAAGCGACGUCAAAGCGUUCAUUAAAGUCGAGUUGGCUUAGGGAUACGUUCGUUGGGUAGGGGAGCGUUCUGUAAGCCUGUGAAGGUGUGUCGUGAGGCAUGCUGGAGGUAUCAGAAGUGCGAAUGCUGACAUAAGUAACGAUAAAGCGGGUGAAAAGCCCGCUCGCCGGAAGACCAA
rnacentral:rRNA from 1 species